rnacentral:rRNA from 1 species
UACGUAUGGAGCAAGCGUUAUCCGGAUUUACUGGGUGUAAAGGGAGCGCAGGCGGCUUUGCAAGUCUGAUGUGAAAGGCCGGGGCUCAACCCCGGGACUGCAUUGGAAACUGUAAAGCUAGAGUGCCGGAGAGGUAAGCGGAAUUCCUAGUGUAGCGGUGAAAUGCGUAGAUAUUAGGAGGAACACCAGUGGCGAAGGCGGCUUACUGGACGGCAACUGACGCUGAGGUUCGAAAGCGUGGGGAGCAAACAGG